CCUACGGGAGGCAGCAGUGGGGAAUAUUGGACAAUGGGCGAAAGCCUGAUCCAGCAAUGCCGCGUGAGUGAUGAAGGCCUUAGGGUUGUAAAGCUCUUUUACCAGGGAUGAUAAUGACAGUACCUGGAGAAUAAGCUCCGGCUAACUCCGUGCCAGCAGCCGCGGUAAUACGGAGGGAGCUAGCGUUGUUCGGAAUUACUGGGCGUAAAGCGUACGUAGGCGGUUAUUCAAGUCAGAGGUGAAAGCCUGGAGCUCAACUCCAGAACUGCCUUUGAAACUAGAUAGCUAGAAUCUUGGAGAGGUGAGUGGAAUUCCGAGUGUAGAGGUGAAAUUCGUAGAUAUUCGGAAGAACACCAGUGGCGAAGGCGACUCACUGGACAAGUAUUGACGCUGAGGUACGAAAGCGUGGGGAGCAAACAGGAUUAGAUACCCUGGUAGUCCACGCCGUAAACGAUGAUAACUAGCUGUUCGGGCUCUACGAGCUUGUAGUGGCGCAGACUACGACAUUAAGUUAGUCCGCCGUGGGUAGGUACGGUCGCGAGAGUUAAACGUACGAAGUUAAGUUAGUAGCGUUGAGACGNGCCGACGGACGACGACGAGGGAGGAGG
rnacentral:rRNA from 1 species